UGCAGCUCUAUUACCCUCUCUUUCUGAUGUUUUCAAUAUAAUGUUACCUGACUCUGAUGUGUGACUAUUUUUACGGGGUUAAACAAAACGGUUCUUUCUGGCUCACCUUUAGCUUGGAAAACCCAGCAUGUUUUGGAGUCUUUGCUCAGAGAGGAGCCCUGCACUAAGUUCCACUUUGGUGAGCCUGAGUUCUGCCAGAAGAGUGAUUCUGCUCCAUGGACAGUGGGCUGACCUCUCCUAAUUCUCUCGACGGAAGAAUCAUCUCCUUCGCUCCAUGUCUGUCCUGGACAAGGAAUCCAGUAGAAUUUCCUGCAAUGAAUAGAGGUCUUCAGUAUCUGCACUGUUCAACAUGGUGGCCGUUUGCCCCUGUGCUUUGAGCAGCUGAGGCACUGAAUGGCAGCCAUGUGCCAAAGAGAUUCAGAAGAGUCACCUGUGUCCUGUGGAGACCGGGCCAUGAGUACAGAUGCAGGCCAUCUACUGAGAAGUACUUAAGUAAUGUUAGCAGCCACAACAGUGAGAAAAGUUAUGACAUAUACAAAAUCCUCCUGCCUCCGCCUCUGGAAUAGCUGAGAAUAUAAAUCAGUGCCUCUGGAUAACAGGUUUGUCUGCACCAUUCUUAAUAUCUCCUGAGCCACAGCUCAAGAAAAAAGAGCCGU
rnacentral:lncRNA from 1 species